AAAAGGGUAAUGACUCGGCUGUUUCAGUAAUAGAUUUGUCACUUUGGUACAAAACAAUGAGGAAAAGGAGAACAGAUUACAUUCAAUUUAUGAGGUGUAUCAUGUGUACACAACAGUAAUUAAAGGACUGGGGUUCUUACAGGAACUAAUUUGUGUUAAUUUGAUUUGAUUUUGUCAUUUAAGUGAACACCUAAAUCCUUCAGCAGUGAAUGGGCUGUGGGCCAACCCAGACGUUACACAGAGUUUCACGCUUUGCUACUAAAUUUGCCAAAGGGGGAAAAAGGGGGCACUGUACUUAGGUUUAAUGAAAGUCUAAGGAACUGAGUCAACACACACCGUGACAUUGGGAGAGACUUGAUUCAAGAGGAUUAGAUUUGGAGUUGUUUUCCUCCUGCUAUGCACUUGUACUGUAAGCAGAGGGGACCAUAAGGAUUUAGGUUCAUAGGGGCUUGAGCUGGCACCAUCAAGAGGGGGAAAUCUUUUUCAUUUGAUACAGACAUUAAACUUUAGACAGGAAAAACUCCCUGAGGAGGAGACAUAAAAAAAUGAAACCACAAAAAGUCUGGAAGAACUUGACUCAAAAGAGGGCAUGGGUAAGGACGUUCCCCAGGGAAAUACUUACCUUCAGCAGAACUUCCAACAAUACAGGUGGGGCUCAAAACAG
rnacentral:lncRNA from 13 species